rnacentral:rRNA from 1 species
CAAUAGCGUAUAUUAAAGUUGUUGCAGUUAAAAAGCUCGUAGUUGGAUCUCGGGUCCAGGCUUGUGGUGCAGCUUAGGCUGCUUACUGCUCGUCCUGACCUACCUACCGGUUUUCCCUUGGUGCUCUUAAGUGAGUGUCUUGGGUGGCCGGAACGUUUACUUUGAAAAAAUUAGAGUGCUCAAAGCAGGCUUAUGCCUGAAUAUUAGUGCAUGGAAUAAUUGAAUAGGACCUCGGUUCUAUUUUGUUGGUUUUCGGAACAUGAGGAAAUGAUUAAGAGGAACAGACGGGGGCAUUCGUACUGCUGCGUUAGAGGUGAAAUUCUUGGAUCGUAGCAAGACGAACAACAGCGAAAGCAUUUGCCAAGAAUGUUUUCAUUAAUCAAGAACGAAAGUCAGAGGUUCGAAGACGAUCAGAUACCAU